ensembl:snRNA U1 U1 spliceosomal RNA
AUACUUACCUGGCAGGGGAGAUACCAUGAUCACGAAGGUGGUUUUCCCAGGGCGAGGCUUAUCCAUUGCACUCCGGAUGUGCUGACCCCUGCGAUUUCCCCAAAUGUGGGAAACUCGACUGCAUAAUUUGUGGUAGUGGGGGACUGCGUUCGCGCUCUCCCCUA